rnacentral:rRNA from 1 species
AUUGAACGCUGGCGGCAGGCCUAACACAUGCAAGUCGAGCGAGCGGCGGACGGGUGAGUAAUGUCUGGGAAACUGCCUGAUGGAGGGGGAUAACUACUGGAAACGGUAGCUAAUACCGCAUACCAUCAGAUGUGCCCAGAUGGGAUUAGCUAGUCGGUGGGGGAACGGCUCACCUCGGCGACGAUCCCUAGCUGGUCUGAGAGGAUGACCAGCCACACUGGAACGUAGAAACGGUCCAGGCUCCUACGGGAGGCAGAGGGGGGGAAAAUUGGAAAAGGGGCGCAAGCCUGAUGCAGCCAUGCCGCGUGGGGGAAGAAGGCCUUCGGGUUGUAAAGCACGUUCAGCGGGGAGGCGUUACCCGCAGAAGAAGCACCGGCUAACUCCGUGCCAGCAGCCGCGGUAAUAC